rnacentral:rRNA from 1 species
AUUGAACGCUGGCGGCAUGCUUUACACAUGCAAGUCGAACGGUAACAGGCCGCAAGGUGCUGACGAGUGGCGAACGGGUGAGUAAUGCAUCGGAACGUGCCCAGUCGUGGGGGAUAACGCAGCGAAAGUUGCGCUAAUACCGCAUACGAUCUAUGGAUGAAAGCGGGGGACCGUAAGGCCUCGCGCGAUUGGAGCGGCCGAUGUCAGAUUAGGUAGUUGGUGGGGUAAAGGCUCACCAAGCCGACGAUCUGUAGCUGGUCUGAGAGGACGACCAGCCACACUGGGACUGCGACGCGGCCCAGACUCCUACGGGAGGAAGCAGUGGGGAAUGUUGGACAAUGGGCGCAAGCCUGAUCCAGGAAUGCCGCGUGCAGGAAGAAGGCCUUCGGGUUGUAAACUGCUUUUGUACGGAACGAAACGGUCCUGGUUAAUACCCGGGGCUAAUGACGGUACCGUAAGAAUAAGCACCGGCUAACUACGUGCCAGCCGCCGCCGUAA